rnacentral:rRNA from 1 species
GUAGGUGGCAAGCGUUGUCCGGAAUUAUUGGGCGUAAAGCGCGCGCAGGCGGUUCUUUAAGUCUGAUGUGAAAGCCCACGGGCUCAACCGUGGAGGGUCAUUGGAAACUGGAGAACUUGAGUACAGAAGAGGAAAGCGGAAUUCCACGUGUAGCGGUGAAAUGCGUAGAGAUGUGGAGGAACACCAGUGGCGAAGGCGGCUUUCUGGUCUGUAACUGACGCUGAGGCGCGAAAGCGUGGGGAGCAAACAGGAUUAGAUACCCUGGUAGUCCACGCCGUAAACGAUGAGUGCUGAGUGUUAGGGGGUUUCCGCCCCUUAGUGCUGCAGCUAACGCAUUAAGCACUCCGCCUGGGGAGUACGGCCGCAAGGCUG